rnacentral:lncRNA from 1 species
UCAAAUAGAAGACAUUACUUGUACUCAGGAUUUUUUAUGAACUCGACGACGAUUUCCUUGUCGGGCUGAAUCUGGAGCAUCUUCAUAACAAGGCACAUAAAAGGGGUCGGUUUCCGAGUGCCACUGUGAGUUCCGCCGAGGUGGUCGAGCUCCAUGGCCUUGUCGACGAGCGUCUCCGCCGUCAGCCCGAAGCAUUGCUCCUUCCAGUAAGUAUUUUGGUAGAUUUUCGUGCGCAAAAUCUUCUCCACUAGAUUUUGAGGAUUUGUACCUCUUAUGCUUUUAGCGAGGGGGUCUGUUCGAUUCGCCAUGAAAAAGAAAAAUAUAGCUGAUAAUCGGAACCUAAUUCCCAAUUCCAGAGGGCUCUUUUACUUUAUAUAAUGCCGGAACUCAUUGGUUUUGACUGAUAUGUCCACAAAAAAAUGUCACCUGCAAAAACAACAAAAAAUGGUUUGUUUAUAUUCAUAAAUUAAAAGAAAAAUAGAUAACAUGCUGAGAUAUCUCAUAUCAUAUUAUACAAUUUCUGAAUCUCUAUUGUUUGUAUGAUCAAAACACACCACAAAUGGAAAGUUAUGAAUGAAAUGAUUCUUCUAUUUGGUGAGAUGAAAAAUGAAAUGAUUUUUUGCUUAUAAAAAAGCAAUGAUUUUUUGCCAGAAUAAUUUUCAGCCGGUCACACACUAUUAAAGCCAUGUUUAAGCUUUUAAAUGAAAAUGACAAGGUAUUGGAAAAAUAUGACAAAACAAAAACUAAUUAUCCUUAAUCAACUGCAAACCUUCUUAACAUCAAUAAAAGAUAUAGAUACAUAUUUUCUCUUCAUUUUCUCACCUUUUAGACAUAUAGAUUAUUAAACACAUUGACUACAAAAGAAACACAAAAAAAUGAAAAACUAAAAAACGAAAAACUAAUAUGCGAAAAAAUUAAAGAUCUUUAGUUUUAAGCGACACUUUGUGUAGAAAUUUAAAGAUUUACCAAAAGCAAUGACAUAAACACCAAAAAAUGAAAAAGUGAUCUGCGAAAAAAUGAUGAUAUUUCUGAUUGAAGCAACACAUUGUGUAGAUAUUCACAAAUCAGCCAAAAAANCACACUGACAAGAAACAUCCACAUUAACAAGCAGACAAAUAAUUAUAUGGAGGACGCUAGAAUUUAAGAUGCAUACUAGGGAAGAAGCCGAGAUCUGGAGCCGUCGUUUGAAACCCGGACGGCGGCGGCUGGAUACGGGCUAUGCAGAUUCGUUGUCGGCGAGGAAGGAGGCGACGCCGCGUGGAGCGACGCAGUGCCUGUCGCGAAAUCAGAUAGGUCGAGGGAAAUGGGAUUAAGAAAUAGAGGGUGAGGCAGAGGGAGAGAGAUGAAGAGGGAGAGCAUCGGCAGCCGUGGCUUGUGGAGAAGACUUGAAUUUUGUAGAAAAUGUUUGGAGCGUUGAAUCUGGAAAGUGAGAACGGCGGAUCUGUAAUGAGAUUAUGGUAGAAUUUGGGGAGAAGUGGAGAACAUUCUAGAAUUCAAAGGCAGCGGCUGAAACCCUAAAAAUGAAUGCCUCUCUAUAUUUAUAUUAUGCUAAAUAUUGUGGUUGGGGCUCUCGAAAAUUAGUAGCUUUUAUAUUGAAUGUUGUAUACUAUGUAUCUGCCAUAUAUUAAAAUGUUAAAUAGUAGGAUAAUAUAUUUAGUUGGGUUCGAAAAUUAGUUGUUUCGGACUUUCUUCUAAGCGUGGCCCCAAAAAAAAAAAAAAAAAUUACACUUUUAUUUAGUGGAGUUCAUGAAGUUUGCUCUAAUAAAUUUAUUUUUCUAUAUUUUUUCUUCAAUUUAUUGAUUGAAUUAAGAGCAUCCAUAUUGAUUGAUUAAGCUCUCUUUACAGUUUACACUAUAGAGUAGGGGAUCAUUUCUAAGUAAGGAGCCCACAAUAGAAUGACUUAUUCUUUUUAGUUUUGAUUUUAUAUUUUUCAUUUAAUUUUAAUUGAACAAAUUUAAAUAACACAAUUUACUUCAAAUUAAAAUUGCAUUAAUUUUAAAAACCUAUAAAUUAUAUAAAAAAAAUUACAUAAAACUUAAAAAUUUAAAAACAUAGCUUAAAAUUAUUAAUAUAUGCAAAUUUGGGUAAAAAUACCAAUUUGCUAUAUUAAUUCAACCAAAAUUGCCACCAAAACUGUUACUCCAAUUCAAGUUCCAUUUGCUAUAUUAAUUCGAAUUUGGGUAAAAUAGGUGAGAAAUUAGAAUCAGAGGUGGAAAGUAAUAAUGUGACCGUUUAAAAAAUUUGAAUUUAACUUUUUAUUUUUAUUUUAAUUAAAGCGUGCACUGCACGCACUCCACAAUAGGGAGAAUGAGCCUUACUCGAAAAAUCGAAUAAUACUCGAGUCUAUGCCAAUCCACAGUGGACUUACUCGAUCUCUCCCUUAUACGAGUAAUGAAGAACGAGUUACCAUUGUGGAUGCUCUAAUGGUUUUUAUGUGAAUUGAUAUGUUUGUGAAGUAAUUGGCUCAAUGUAUUCUAAAUUGUUUAGAAACUGGUAUUUAUAUUCUUUCUCUCCAACUGAGUUAUUGAUUGUAUUUAACUCAAUAUAUAAAAAAUAGUGUACCUAUUUUGUAUUAAAAUAGGGAAUUCUACAUGGAGUUAAAUUAUGAACAUGUAUCCAGUUGGAUUUAAAAAUAAGGAGCUACACAUUUGGAUUUAAAUUAUACUCCCUCUAUCUACGAUAUGGUUUUCACAUUGUGGACGACGCAAAUUUUUAAAAAAAUGGUGAAUAGUAAUAGAUAAUAGCGGAUAUUGUAAUUAAUGGAGUUUGGGUUUCACUAUUAUUGUGAGUGGAAGUUUGUGGAUCCUACUUCUAUAAAUGAAAGUGGAAAAAAUAUCGCGAACAUAUUCAAAAUGACAAAUAUGGAAACAAUAUCGCGGACGGAGGGAAUAUAUGUUUGCAAUUUCACGUUAGUAAAUAAUAUUAUAAUUCUUUAUAUCAUGUUAUAAAUAUUAAUAUGAGUAUAAUAUGUAAAUAUAAUUUAGAAUGCUUUAUUGGAUGUGUAGAACCAAUAUUUACUAAUAUUUAGUAAUUUCAACUUCUAGACUUUUGAUUUGAGUUUCUUUUUUAUGAAGAUCUAAAUCUAUAAUUUGUAAUUUAGUUGUAUAUUAUAUUUCUUAUAUAAGUAUGUACUCCCUUCAUCCCACGAAUCUUGAUGUAUUUCUAAAUAUAGUAACAAUUAGUUAAAAAAUAAGGAUUCUUAAUUACCUAUUUUAUCACUUUAUUAUCUACAAACUUUUCUACUUUAUCACUUUUUUACUUUAUUACCUACACACAUAAAAUAUUAAUCUACAAUUUUUUAAUUCUCGUGCCGAAAAUAAAUGCAUCAAGGAGUAUUAGUUAUAGCAUAUUUAAUUUUUAAAUAUGUUAAUUAUACAAUAUUUGCUAAGUACUUUUUUUUGUAGUUUUACAUUAUUUAAAAACAAUUUUUUAGUAAAAUUGACUUGUGACUGAUCCAAAAAAGAAAAAUUGACUUGUGAUUAAGUGGGAGGGGAAGUGAAGGAAAUUUGCGGGCACAGCUGGGGGAUGGCGAAAUGUGGGGAAGACAAAUUUGUGUGGUUGUUUUUGGGGUGGAGUGGUGGGGUAGGGUGGUGGUGUAGGUUUGAGUUAAUUUGUUUGAUGUUAGGUUUUUUUAUUUAAAUUUUUUUCAAUUAUACUUUUUUUAUUUUAUUUAUUUAUAUUUUCAUUAAAAGUAAAGUAUAUUUACGCAAAAUUUUAUUAUAUUUAAUAUAAUUUUAUUUAUGUGGCUAACAUUAAUCUUUGAGUGGAUUUUGAAAAUAGCCACUUUGAAAUAGUAAACUUAAAAAUUGUCCAUUAAGAUAAAAACAUAAAAAAAUGGCCACUGUUACCAAAAUACCCUUCCACAUUAAAAAUUAAAAAAAUGUCCACUUUACAUCACUCCUUUAAAAAAUCCCGCAAUUCACAACGUGAAUUCACAACCAAAUUUUUUUGGUUGUGAAUUCACACUGGUUGUGAAUUGAGAAGUCGUAUUCACAACCAGAAUUUUUUGUUUGUGAAUUCACAACUAGUCGAAUUCACAGCCAAAAUUUAAUUCACAACAGUCGAAUUCACAAUUAAAAUUUAAUUCACAACUAGAAUUUUUUGGUUGUGAAUUCACAGCCAAACGAAUUCACAACCAGAUUUAUGUUGGUUGCGAAUUCACAAUCAGUCGAAUUCACAACCUGAAUUUAAUUCACAACUAGAAUUUAUUUUGGUUGUGAAUUCAAGUAGUUGUGAAUUUGAGUUUUUAAAGUUUGAAUUCACAAUCAAAACUGUAAUUUAUUUUGAUUGUGAAUUUAUAGAUUUGGUUGUAAAUUUAAGAAUAUUAAGUUGUGAAUUCAUCGAGCUAGUUGUGAAUUCAUCGACCUGGUUGUGAAUUCUUAAAUCUAGUUGUGAAUUCAUAAAUGUUUUUCUUAAAUCUAGUUGUGAAUUCAUAAAUGUGGUCGUGAAUUCAAGAACAUUAAAUUGUGAAUUCAUAAAUUUGGUUGUGAAUUUAAGAACAUUAAAAAAAUUAUUGUACAACACCAAAAUACAACAACUCAAUCUACCAUCAAAAUACAUCAAUUCCUCUAAAUCAGCAAUCAAAAUACAACAAAAUAUUAUCCGAAUCAAUUCAAUCUACAAUCAAACUACAACAAUUCCUUCGAAUCAACAAUCUCAGCAUUCAUCCCCAAUUCAUCUCCAAUUCGUCCCCAAUUCUUCCACAAUUUUCCCAAUUUCCAUCCCCAAUUCGUCCCCAAUUUUCAUCACCUUUUCAUGACUCCCGGCGGUUUCCACUACGACUUCCGCCACCAUGUCAUCCCCACGCGCCAGCGUUUCGCCGAUCUUGCCAGGAUGUCGGCCGGGGGAGUUGAGUUCUACACUUUGCGCCCCAACAAGACGGUCCUCGUCGUCUCCAACGGCAGCGCCAUGAGCAUCGACGGAGUUCCGGUUGGAAUGAGGGAGGUUUAUCACAAUCGCUGGAUGGUUGUGGUUUCCGUUUUGUCAUCGUUAGACGACGUCGUCCCUGAGUCUAACCCCGAUCCACCAUCCGAUUCGGCUCCUUCUCCGAGAGUUCCUUCGCCGGCCCCAGUUCCCAGCGUUUCUAACUCACCACGAGUUUCGUCUCCGGCCCCAAUUCCUAGGGUUUCCGGCAGAUCACACAGAGUUCCGUCUCCGGCCCCAAUUCCUAGGGUUUCUGGCAAAUCACAUAGGGUUCCGUCUCCGGCCCCAAUUCCUAGGGUUUCUACUGCGGGCAAAUCACCUAGAGUUAUUUUUCCUACUCCGAUUCAUGGGGCUUUCGCUAGGGGGAAAUCACAUAGAGUUCCUUCUCCAGCUCCGAUUCAUGGGGUUUUCGCUAAGGGCAGAUCACACAGAGUUCCUUCUCCUGCGCCGGCGCACAAGGAGGAAUCGGAAGACGGUAGUCCGGCCUUAGCAGGAGCUGUGGUCGCCGGAGGAGAUGAGAAAGAGGGAGAACGACGGCAAUCGACGGCGACUUCGCCGGAAGAGCUGCCUCGCCAGGAAUUUCAGGCGGCGACGGAGAUUUGAGUCGUGUGUGUGUGUGUUUCGAUUUGGAUUGAGAGAGAGAGAGAGUACACUAUUGAAUAGUGACUGGCCAUUUUUAUAAAUUUUAAAGUAAGGGGUAAUUUUGUACUUUUACACAAAAACUGGCCAAAUUUUAAUGUUUUUAUUUCAUAGGCCAAAUUUUAAUUUUACUAUAUGAAAGUGGCCAUAUUUAUAUAUUACCUCUUAAUCUUUUAUUAAAUAAUAUGAUUGUUUAGAGAUAUUAACAUUACAUAUGUGAUGUGUGUGUGUGUUACGUGCGCACGCGUAUCAUAUGAUUUUGUGAUAUUUUAAUUAAUUUUAACAUUAUUUGCACAUUAAAGUAUAUAACUAUAACUAUUGUUUAAUUUUUUUAUCCAUUAUAAACUAUUAUAUUUAUUUGUGAUAUUUUAAAUUUAUAUUUAAAUUAUAUAAAAUAUUAGUUUACUCAAAUGAAUUGUGAUAUUUCUCACUAGCAGUAUUAUUAUAUACAUAUUUUGCUGCAUGAGUAUGUGAUUUCUUAAAUUUAUGAUUGACUUUGUAUGCUUGGUAAAUUUGUUAAAUCAAAAUUCAGUUGUUAACAAAAUUAUAAUUUUUGCUAUUUAUAUUUGCAGGUCAUGAAUGUGCUUCGUCAUCUGAUAUUAUUGAGAAUCAUGAAGAUAGUCUUGCUGAUGAUGCUGAAAAUACCAUGGAACCUAUUAUUAUUGAUGAUAGUAGUUCAAAUUCUAACGCACGAAAAUAUUCUUUUGUUGGAUCUUCAUCUUCACGUUUUAAUUAUAUUGUUCGUUGUAUGAAGUCAAAGAGAGUUGAUAGCGAAGGUUGUUGUUUAUUGUUAAACUAGCAUUUGCAUCUUCAGCAUGCACAUAAAAAUAUUUUUUAGUUUUAUAUUUAUAUAAAAUUAAUACUAAUUUAAUUAUUAUACUUAUUAAUAUAGUAAAAAAAUAUUUUUAAUUAAAUAUAUACUGAAUUGAAUAUUGAAAAAUAAAAAAAAAACACAAUUAUAAAAUUUGAUAUUAUGAAAAACAAAAACAAAAAAAUAACUUAAAAAAUUAAAAUAAAAUACUAAUUAAAAAGAACUAAGAAUAUAUUUAUUCAAAAAAGAUGAGAGGGGAGAGAGAAAUUUAUAAAAUUUUAAUAUUUAAAUAAAUUUAAUUUUUACAUUUCAAAUCAAAUAUUUUCAUAAAAUAGUAUCAUAUUAAAGCUCUUAUCGUGAUCUUUAAUUUGAUAUGCAUAUUAAAUAUUUUAUUAUUAAUCGAAUUUCAAAAUUUUGGAAAAAAUGUAACAACAAAUAAGAAGUUAAAGAAAAUGAAAAUAAGAAGAAAAAUAUAUAGUUCAAACAUAAACCUUUAAUUUUAUUAUAAGUACAAAAUUGCCACUCAAUUUUGAAAUUGAUUUCAAACUAGAAACUCCCCUUUAAAUAUAGUAUAAAUUAAAAAGAUCUCUUUGGAUUUGUAUUAUACUUAUCACUCUUUAUAUGUAUAUAUAUAUAUAUAUAUAUAUAUAUAAUAUUUUUGUCGUAUUAUUUUGGUUGGGUGUAUCAUUAAUUAUUGCAAAUCCAUGAAUUGUCGUAGGAAAAAUUGAUAAAUAAAUCUAUAUAUAUAGAGUGUUCCAAUGAGAUCUCUUAUAUAUAGUGACCUCUUAGAUAGAUUUUUAUGCGUUGAUUUGGUGUAUCCUAUGGUUAUAUUUAUCUGGAGAGGGAAAAAAUUUACCGCGGUUCGAAUCCUUGAAGGAGUAUAAUAUAAGAACCAUAUAUGACCGUAGAUCAUCCUUAAAUACAUGGCCAAGAUCUAAAAAUCUGUAUUUCACCAACUCAUUGUAUAUUAUAUCCAUCCAUAGUCAAUAUUGACAACAAAACACUACUAUUUAACACAUCAACUUUCAUUUGUCUCUCUUCCCACUCAAUUUUAGAGGAUUCAUUUUUUUACCUUAUUCAUAUCUCGCAACAAUUUAUUGAAACUUGUGUCUCAAACUACUCUGUGAUUUUCGUGAAUGAAGAGAUUAUGAUGAAAUUGAGUUUUAUUAAAAAGGAAAAGAAAAACACUUGAAGGCACAAGAAAGCAAACUUAGGGCCCGAGACUCGAAAAGAGCUCGUAAAAUAAAAACAUCAACGCAUAGUACAGCUUAAGUCAAAAGACAAUACGUGGCAACAAAAUCAAUAAGGAAAAUCCUUGUUGGAAUGAAAGUCGUCCAACUCCAUUUCAUCCGACCAACGGCCGUGCGCGAUAUUGUUCAUAGCACGCAUAGCACUAUUGUUGCUAUGAUCAACCACAAAGUCCCUCGGCUUAUAUCCCAUUUNACUCCGGAUGGAGUCACUUUUCACGAUCAUCGCUUGACGGCGGCAUGUUUUCUGGGUCUUAAAGCUAUUUCACAUCUUCGGCUUUUUGGUAAACACUUGGUGGGCAAUCCCUAUUGGAAUUUUCAGGUGCAGUUUCUGGCGUGGACUAUGCCCGCCGAUGCGUGGAGCUGUUGGUUGCUCUGGUUUUCGGUUUUCCUAGUUUUUUUGAUGCUUGUUCUUGUGUUAGGCAGUGUUGGCAUGAGUGAUGUGGUUCUGCGUUGUUUUUCAGUUUUUUUUCGUUGCUUUCUUUCCGUGUUAGUGAGCCGAGAAUAUUUAGGGACGAUGGUUCGGCCGGAGUUUCUGAAGUAUUCUCAACUCAGCUAGCUAACUUUUUCUCUUAGACGGGUACUCUUUUUCCUUGCUAUGUUUUUCCCUUUCGGGUUUUCCUAGCAAGGUUUUAAUGAGGCUCGGCCCUUAGUCUGCUUUUCUGUGCAUUCAUGGGUUCUUUAGGUUUUCUUUUUCUAAUAAAAUUUAUUUUAAUAAUUUAUCUGGAGAGGAAAUUUUUUUACCUCGGUUCGAAUCCUUGAAGGAGUAUAUAUAUAUAUAUAUAGGUUGAAAAUACUCCUUAGUGUAUAAUAUAAGAACCAUAUAUGACCGUAGUGAUGGAAUAUUAAAUUGAAUUAACGUUCCGUUUGCCCGAUGAUCGUUUCUUGGUUAUUAUUAACUUAUCAUACAACGAUUAAUCCUAACAUGCUCCUAUGAAUUUAACAGCUGCACAUAGGUGUUAGGAAUUACUUACUUGCGAAGCGGAUGCACAGGUUGUUGAUGAUCGUGUCGAAAGACUCCAGCUCUGAUCUUCUCGACUGUAUCCCGCUCAGCUUUCAACGUUGGAUGGACAACGAGCUAUGAAAGUCCCAAGGCAGAAUUGCUCCUACACGUUUCCUGCGCCCCCUUAGCUCUCUAAAACCCUAAUUUUAUCAGUGUGUUUCUCUGAGAGCUGACAGCUGUAUUUAAUAGAGAAUUAAAUACGUAUGGGGCGCUUCUUUAGUGUAGGGGGCGAUUUCUGGCUCUUCUAGGGCUAGGAGACUUUGGGCCAGUCCAGGGACCAGAUACAAGGAAUAAAGAUGGGCCUCAAAUAAAUUAAUUUAUCUAUGGUCAGCCCAGACCAUAAUUAAUUUAUAAAUAUCAGUUCAUUCCACUAGAGAACCGAUACUGACUUACCCCUUUAUUGCCGGUGAUGAGUCGGGGGGCUUGUAUUUAGACUUAUUAAAUCUCCGUAUUUAAAAUAUCCGACAUCCAUUAAUUAAUUAGAGCUCUGACAGCUUAAAUUAAUUAAUCUCUUUAUAAUCCUUAAGCAGUACCACUCAAACCUUAUUAUUGCGCCUGAACUUAAUCAACCUGCAGGGUUUAACGCAAUAAACCUUAUUGAGCUCCUUAAGGGGAUGUCAUUAUCCUAUACCGGAUACGGGUACUAAUACAGAUAAUCAAAUAUCAUAUAUUAACCGCUAUCACCCAAGAUACAGAGUACUCGAGUUAGUAUAUAACUUUCACCCAUAGUAAGUCAAAGUGAUAUACGAAUUAACAUAUAUAUCUGAAUACUUAUUAGUAUUAAGAUUCUGUUAAGUCACCGAGAUAUUUAUUAUUCACUUAAGUCAGAUAGAAGAAUACAUCUCACUGUGGUCCUAUCAAUACGUAAUGACGUAUCAGUAUAGACAAGUAGCCAAGACAAACUACUUCCAUCUAUACCGCAGCCUAAACCAAUAACUUGUCCUAGAGUUAUUUCGGCUGUGACCAUAUUAUAUCUCUUAAGGUUAUUCCAAUUAUACGGUCUUCUGUGAUCUACAACACACCGUAUAAUCUACUUGUAUAAAGAUAAAGAACAUACAUAUGCAAUCAUGAACACAAUCAGAUAGGAGAUUGAAAACAGUGAACACAUGAAUCAUUAUAUACAAGCAUAAAGUUCUUGCUUUCAGUAUAUAUACAAAUCCAACACGUAGAUCAUCCUUAAAUACAUGGCCAAGAUCUAAAAAUCAGUAUUUCACCAAUUCAUAUAGUUUAAUAGGCAAUUUGUAAUAAUUUAAGAAAUAAGGGUAUUAAAGUAAUUGAUAAAGUUUGACCUUUUGUCUAACUUUGUCUGCCCCGAUUCUGGUGCCCAAGAAUUUGAAAAGAUUUAUUUUCCAUAUCAGAUAUCAAAUCACUUUAAUGAGUUCAAUGUAGAAUUAAUUAAACGAAUCAUUGCGUUUUUCUUGAUUCUCUGGUUUUAUGCUUCUACAGAAUAAUAAGUUUUUAAACUCUUUUCUAUCUCAUGCAGAAUUUUAUAAAUAACACGAAUUUGAUGUUUAUUUGUUACGAAUUAUAUGUUAUAUAGAAAUAGUGCAUAACGAAUUUAAAAACAAUACUAAAACUGUAAGAUAAUGUCAUCAACCAUCAAUUUGUUAUAAAAAUAAAAUCUCAAUUCUUUUUGUUACUAAAAGUCGGCAUAUCAAACAUAUUACUAAGUGAAUCCAAAACAUCGAAAUCAUGCAACCACAAUAUGACAACACUAACUUUAUUGAAGCAGGUUACGUAAACUUUUCGACGAUUGAAAAUAUUUAAGUUUUCAACUAUUUAAAAAACGAUGACAUAAUUAAGCAGAACCAAUUCCUUCAAGCGAACCAAUUCCUUCAAGCAUCCAUCUGUAAGCAGAAAAUUAAGCAGAUAUUCAGGACUUCAAACAAAAUAACUACAAGACAUACCAUCAAACAAGAGAAACACCAAUGAGAAAAUAAGAGCUAUCAAACAUGAGAUAGUUAUUUUUCUGAACCAGUAGCCAGAACUCAUAUGCUCUAAUAAAUGGAUCAUUGUGUUUUACAGAUCUACAGAGGCAAGUAUAAAUUAAUAGAAUAACAAUUCAACCAGUUCAUAUAAAAGCUGAUCAAAAGCUUUAAAUCGAAAAAUAGAGCAUUACAAUAUGUUCAUUAAACAUUAUUAUCUCAAUAAUCAUUAGAUAAUAUGAACUGUAUUAUAUUCUCAAGUUUCCCUUUCCACCUUUAGAGAACCACACUCACCAUUCAUAACAACUAACACGUUUAGACCAAAGAUUAAGUUCUAUUCAAUAGUUCUACAAAUUUACAAAAAAAGUUAAAGAGAGAAAAUUGACUAGUGAGAUUCUAAAUUAGCAUUCUGGAAGUAGCUGGUGGUAUCGCCUACAGACUUAACAGUAAGGAGCAAAGAGGUCCACCCGAUAACAUUUUAUCAUAUAAAAGCGAAGAUAUUAAAAGAAAGCUAAAAUAAAGGAACACACAAACACCAUCAGAACCCUACCCACAUUGCAUUUCAGGUACCUUUUUUUGAUUCGUGGUAGAGCGAUAUCACAUGAGUAAUCUUUUGUCAAAAGCUCAUCAAUGUACUCGUCAACAUGCGUCAAUGUGAAUUCUGUAAAAAUCAAGCCAAAAAAAUUAUCACGGAAAUGAAGAAUUGGUAGUUAAAGCCAAUAACACAAACUGAUUCGGAUUCACGAAUAAAUUUCAAAUACUCAAAAUAUGGAUUAGAUAAUCUCACUUCCAUCAUUUAGCUUGAGCCUCAGCUUUCGGUAAUCAUUGUAUAAAGGUUCCAAGUAACGGUAAACAUCGACGUCCAUUCCCGUUAAACGCAAAUAAAAAGCUCCAAGCACACGGACAUAUCUAAAUCAAAGACCACGAGAAACUAGUUGUAAGAGUGGGGAAACAGAACGUGCGGUAUAUUAAAAGCAUUUACGAACAAACGAUUUUAUUCAAUAAAGAACCAGAAGAAAAGAGACUAGUCAGGCGUGAGAUGGAAACAACUAAGUAAAGACUUUAUUAGAAUUUGAAGUUCAUGCUAUUUCAUCAAUUGCAAUUCAUGUAAUCCAAAGCACAUUACUAUAAAUCAAUAGUUAAAUCCAACCAGAGAUUAAUUCCUUCUGUCCGAACUUCGACCAAAAUCUAUCACGCAUUUUUCCACAUCCAUAAACUAAGGCCUCAAGAUAAGAAAUCCGUAAGACAUUCAGCACUAAGAAAUUUGGACGCGAUAAAUCUAAAUCAAACUAGACACGCAGCUAUUCACUGAGCUGAAAGAAAUUAGAAAUUAGAUAUUCAUAAAAAUGUUACACACAUACACUAGAAUACAAGAGGAAGAGAAGAAUCGAACAUCAAAUAGAAGACAUUACUUGUACUCAGGAUUUUUUAUGAACUCGACGACGAUUUCCUUGUCGGGCUGAAUCUGGAGCAUCUUCAUAACAAGGCACAUAAAAGGGGUGGGUUUCCGGGUGCCACCGUGAGUUCCGCCGAGGUGGUCGAGCUCCAUGGCCUUGUCGACGAGCGUCUCCGCCGUCAGCCCGAAGCAUUGCUCCUUCCAGUAAGUAUUUUGGUAGAUCUCCGUGCGCAAAAUCUUCUCCACCAGAUUUUGGGGGGUUUGUACCUCUUAUGCUUUUAGCGAGGGGGUCUGUUCGAUUCGCCAUGAAAAAGAAAAAUG